UUUUUUCUAUUUACAUGAGAUUAUCCUGUUGCUCUUUCAUAACUUGAAUUAAACUCUUACUUGAUAGAGUUUAGCAUUCUUUAUGUCUGCUAUACAUCAUUAGUAGUGCACAAGGAGAUUGUGGGAAUACAUGGGCUUUUUAAAAAUAUUUACUACUUAUGUACUUUGUUAAAUGUGUCUUUUAUUUUUUUUAAAUGUGUCUUUUAAAAUGUAAUAACCACUACCUUGAAUUUGACAGUAGUUUGGUUUGGGUAUGGAUGUUAUUUCUUACUAUAAGGAAGCACUAAGUAAAAAGACAAAGUCAGGGGCACCAGGAUGGCUCAGUCAGUUAAGCAUCUGACUCUUGAUUCCAGCUCAGGUCUUGACAUCAGGAUUGUGAGAUCAAGCUUCACAUCGGACUCCAAGCUGGGUAAGGAACCUGCUUAAGAUUCUUUCUCUCCCUUUUCUCUAUCCUUUCCCCUCCACCCCCUACUCAUGCUCUCUCUGAUCUCGCUCUCUCUCUUACUAAAAAGCAGAAAAAGUCGGUCCAUUUAAAUAAAAAUGAAAAUAGUAGUAAAGCUGCCAUUAUUUCAUGUUUGAAAAGAUUGUGAAUUUUAGUUAUGUACAUUGAGCAAAGGUUGCCAAUCAUGUUGCUCAAACUUUCUGUAUGUCAUUCUUUUUUUACCUGCUUGAUCUAUUAGUUUUUAGAAAGGCAUGUUAAGAUCUCCCACUAUAAACGUAUUUGCCAGUCCUUCCUUAUAAUUCUGUCAAUGGUUGCAUUAUAUAGUUUGAAUUUGAAUUGUUAGGUAUAAUUCAGCUCAGAGUUAUUAUACAUUCCUCAUGAAUUAUUCCUUUAGUAAUUAAAGAAUGACUCUUUAUCUCCAAAAAUACCUUUCUCUGAGGUCUUUUUGGCUGCCAUUAAUAUGGCCACCUUGGCUUACUCUUAGCUGUUAUUUGCUUAGUAUGUAUUUUUCCAUCCCUUUAUUUGCAACCUUGGUCUGUCAUUAAGUUUUAGUAUUCUUUCCAUCACAUUAGGCUGUUCUUUUCCUGGUCAUUCUCCUUCACCAAGGUCUUUCAUAGUUUUGAGUUCUGGAAUGCUAGUCUAUCCACAUGAUUCAUAUAUCCAGAUAACCAGAUGGAAACAAGAAGUCUUUAAGAGAAGUUUAGAUGCUCAUGAAAGCAAGUUAGAGCCUCCUAGUUUGCAUCUGGAGAGUGGACAGCAUGUAUUCUGUAGACUCCUGCCAGCCUAGGGAGUACAAGUACCACCAGUGUGUGGCCUGGUUCUAAAGCUGGGGUGCAUACAGUUCUUCUGCCUCCAGAUAUUUAUAGCUCCAUGUGGGUGGGGAUGCAGCUCCUCAGAACAGAAAGAGAAGGUCUAAGCCCCAGGGGAACAAUGUGAACCACUGUGUGACCGAUCAAGUGCCUUCUUCCAGUGGAUGCUUCAGAGGCUGUUACCCAGGCCUUAAUUCCUCAUGAUCAAGAUUAAGGCAAAAGAUCUCAGGAAACAAGGGGCCUGUCCUGCCCCCAAGCUCUGCUGAAGCUGGAGAUUUACACUUAAAACCUAUUAGUUGUUUCUGCCUCCACACACUGCUCUUCAUUAAGUGAGCUAGAAGAAUUAAUUUGCUUUGUUUUUUCCAAAACAUCCAAGCAACACUAAGGGUCCCAAGCCUCCAAGGAAAUUCUACUUUUCUGUCUCGGAUCCACAAAAGGAAAAAAAAAAAAAAAAACCUACUUUACAGUAUGGGAAGUGUGUGUCUAGAGGAAUGAGGAUGAGGAGUGCCUGCCCUUCAGUGGGAGGAGGAAAUAGUGGCUCAGUUCUCUGUUAGGAGCUCUGCCAAUUAGGGACCAGGGAUGCUGAGCAGGCACCAGACUCCAGUGUGGAACUCAAGAGGAAGUGGCCCUGGAAAGCAUUCCUAGGCAGGUGGUGUCCAUGGAGGGGGGUGUGGACACCAUAGUUCUGGUUUUGCAUCUGUAAUUUCUUCUAUUUGAGCCUCAGUUUCAUCAUCUGUAAAACAAGAGUACGCCAGAUCAGAUUUUCCAAACUACAUUCGCUAUCACUUUGACAUUUUUUGACACAUUUGUGUGCCAACUUUAUUACUGACAUUUUGCUUUACACUGACUUGGUUUUGCUUACUACCCACCUUGUAUUAAUCAAUACUAUUUGUGGGCUAAUGGGUUUGAUAUGACGGUUAUUAUAUUUCUUUCUAAGACACAUUUAAUUAUUUUUUUUAAUUUUUUUUUUUAUUUAUGAUAGUCACACAGAGAGAGGGAGAGGCAGAGACACAGGCAGAGGGAGAAGCAGGCUCCAUGCACCGGGAGCCCGACGUGGGAUUCGAUCCGGGGUCUCCAGGAUCACGCCCUGGGCCAAAGGCAGGCGCCAAACCACUGCGCCACCCAGGGAUCCCGACACAUUUAAUUAAAUACACAAGUAGUAAAUACACAUUUUUUGAAGUCCAUGUAGCCCCUGCA
rnacentral:lncRNA from 1 species